rnacentral:lncRNA from 1 species
GCCUGGCCACUAUAUAAUCUGUCAGAUGAAGAGUGAUGGCCACCUGAAGCCUCUCUAGGUUAUAAUACUAUUCUCCAAUGAGACCUAUUUGGUAGACGAGAAGGGGAAUUAUGCCAGAUCUUCUUUACAAUGAGGGAAGACACUACACUGAGGAAGGCUUGCAGACUUUCUCAGUACAUUAUGCCAACUCCCUCAGGACCUAGGUGCCCACCGUAUCCUGGCCCAACUGGGUCAGACCCUCCAGAAGUUAGUCAGCCUUCUCCAAUAUCGCCCAAGGCUCCUCCUCUCCCUCCUCCAGUGCCAAUGUUACAUCCCUCUCUUCCUCCCUUCACAGGAAGUGGCAAACAGAGAAUGGGGACCAAUACAGGUCCAUACGACUUUUUCGCUUCAGGACUUAAAGCAAAUAAUAGAUUAGGGAAAAUUUGCUGACAACCCAGAUAUAUUGAGGUCUUUCAGGGUCUCAUGCAGUCCUUUGAGUUGGCCUGGAAGGACGUCAGGUUAUUACUAAAACAGGUAUUGACUAUAAGUGGGGAAAAAAAUACAUAAAGUCUUCCAAAACUGCUCAAAGCUGGGGAAGAUGAAUGGAAUGAUGCUAUAAACGCCAGAGGCAGAUUAGAAGAGGAAUGAACAAGAUUCUCCACACUGUCAGGCAGUUCCUAUGAGCGAUCCCAAUUGGUCUACUGAUGAGGGAGAUAACAAUUGGCAUAGAAAUCAUUUUAUUACUUGUAUAGUUGAGGGAUUAACAGCCUCACAAGUAAGGCCCAUUAAAAGCUAUUACUAGGGGAACAAGAGAGUCCAUCAGCUUUCUUAGAAUUCUAGACUCAGAAAGGCAUUGAGAAAAUAUACACCAAGGAAUCCAGAAACAAUGGAGGGCCGAAUAAUUCUUAAGGAUAAAUUCAUAGCUCAAUCGGUGCCAGAUAUAUGGAGAAAGCUCCAAAAAUUGGCUUUUGGCCUUGACAGGACCUGGAGCACCUCUUAUAAUUGGGGCCAGGAAGAAUGAAAGGAGAACAAGAGGGAGAGAGAGAAAAGGCUGAGGCUCUAGUUAUGACACUACAGGGAGUCAACCUGGGAGUUUCCAAGAGAAGACUAGGGCAGAGACCUAAGCCCGGAGCCUGUUUCCUCUGUGGAAAAGAGGGACCCUUUAAAUGGGAAUGCCCCAAGACAGACCACAGCACCUAGGCCAUGCCCCAUAUGUUGGGGAGAUCACUGGAAUAGGGACUGUCCCCAAAGACAAAAGGUCUCUGGGGUUGACCCCUCAGGCCCAGGAUCAAGACUGAUGGGACAUUUCCAUAAUGGCUCCUGUCCUUAUCACCACUCAGCAGCCCUGGGUGACUAAAUGUAGGAAGACAGCCUAUGGACUAACUCCUGGAUAUGGGAGCCACUUUUCAGUCCUCCUCUCCGGUCCCAGGCCCCUCCCUCACGAAUCUGCCACAUUCGUGUUUCUGGCAAGAUGGUUACAAAAUUUUUUACACAACCUUUGAGUUGUGACUGGGAAACCAUUUUCUUCUCUCAUGCCUUUCUGAUUGUUCCAGAGAGUCCAACUCCUCCUUUAGAAAGAUAUUUUGUAAGAGGUUAAAGCCUCAAUUCACAUGGCAAUGGAGCCUAAUCAAGGUUUAUGCAUGCCUUUAAUGGAAGUAUAUAUUAACCCAGAAGUUUGGGCCAUAGGAGGAA